GUACAAACCUAACCAUGACAAAGUCCAUCAAACCAGCACAGAUUUAGACUUAAUAACACUGGAGGCAACAUAUAAACUCUCGCCAAUCACAAGAUAUAGAGUCCUUCAUUUUGCAGAGAGAUGUCCUAUGCUGCCUUGCUUCUCCCAUACACAACAAUACAGAAGGACACCUGCUAAGAUACUUGGCCAACUCAGAAGCCUCAAAAGACAAAAUGAUCAUCAAGUUCCAGUACAUGAAACUUCACCCCAUUUGAUCUAGAUCUUAUCAAGCUUCUCAGCCUUGACAAUGGGGUUGGCUUUUGCUAUAGCCUCACGUGCCGCAUUGCGAUAAUCAAAUGGGCAGUUGUGUUUGUCCGAGUAGCGAUGAGAUGCACAGAAAAAGUUGCCACAUCGACACUUGAACCCUGUUAAACCAACCCGUUUCUUGCAAGUGCUGCACCGGCUUGGACCG
rnacentral:misc_RNA from 1 species